rnacentral:rRNA from 1 species
GACGAACGCUGGCGGCGUGCUUAACACAUGCAAGUCGAACGGAAAGGCCUCUUUCGGGGGGUGCUCGCGUGGCGAACGGGUGAGUAACAUGCGUGUGACCUGCUCCUGACUUUGGGAUAACUUCAGGGAACUGGGGCUAAUUCCGGCUAGGAGCUCCCGCUGCAUGGUGGGGGUUGGAAAGUUUCGGCGGUUGGGGGUGGACUCGCGGCUUAUCAGCUUGUUGGUGGGGUAGUGGCUUACCAAGGCUUUGACGGGUAGCCGGCCUGAGAGGGUGACCGGCCACAUUGGGACUGAGAUACGGCCCAGACUCCUACGGGAGGCAGCAGUGGGGAAUAUUGCACAAUGGGUGGAAGCCUGAUGCAGCAACGCCGUGGGCGGGAUGACGGCCUUCGGGUUGUAAACCGCUUUCGCUCAUGACGAAGCUUUGUGUGACGGUAGUGGGUAAAGAAGCACCGGCUAACUACGUG